GUAGGGAAUAUUGGGCAAUGGUCGGAAGACUGACCCAGCCAUGCCGCGUGCAGGAAGACGGCCCUCUGGGUUGUAAACUGCUUUUAUCUGGGAAGAAAAAGGCCAUGCGUGGCAAAUUGCCGGUACCAGAUGAAUAAGCACCGGCUAACUCCGUGCCAGCAGCCGCGGUAAUACGGAGGGUGCGAGCGUUGUCCGGAUUUAUUGGGUUUAAAGGGUGCGUAGGCGGCUGAUUAAGUCAGCGGUGAAAGACUUCGGCUUAACCGGAGCAGUGCCGUUGAUACUGGGUGGCUUGAGUGUCGGAGGGGUACAUGGAAUUGAUGGUGUAGCGGUGAAAUGCAUAGAUACCAUCAGGAACACCGAUAGCGAAGGCAUUGUACUGGCCGACAACUGACGCUGAUGCACGAAAGUGUGGGGAUCGAACAGGAUUAGAUACCCUGGUAGUCC
rnacentral:rRNA from 1 species